AACGGACGGACGCAACGCCCGGUCUCCGCCUGCCCUAAUCGCGACUCCAGGCCGUCGUCCCCAACACACCAUGAGGACGAAGAUGGCGGCGGCGCUGGUCCGGGCCUCCGGGGGAAUCGGACCUCCUACGCCUGCCCGAUCCUCCUACUUCUCCUCGCGCUGCUCCUCGCUGUCCCCGCUCACGGCCAUCUCCAACGCCUCCUCCCACGCCUAUGCCUUCGCGGGCCGUCAGCCGGUGCCCGCCCCGGAUCCCACCUUCUUCGACGAUGUCGUCGACGCCAUCAUCGACAAGUACGGCUGGGACCCCGACGCCGAGGUCCGGGUUUGGCCGCUCGACACCGAGGGCGCGCUCGUCGACGCCGUGCAGUGCUACGAGUUCCCCGCCCGCAUGGGGCCCCGCGGUCGCGCUGGCGUGGGCCUCCGACGGGGCCGUCGACUGGAGCCGCCCCGACGCCCCCGCGGUGGAGGAGGUGGUCGGGCCCGACAGAGUCGACUUCGUGACCGGCGAUGGCGACCUGGCGUUCGGCUCCGGCGUUAGGGUCCGUGACAUGGUAGGGCCGUUCGAGCUGGUGGUCUGCGAUGGCGCUGGCAGGGGCCGCGCAGAGCUCUAGUUGCCGUCGUGUCUGCACCACCGCCCGUUGAUUAGAAUGCAUGUUCCGGCAGUCCACGCAUCAAUCACUGGCAAAUUAAAAAGGCAUGUACGCACUAAACAGAAAUUCUGUGUAGAUGAUUCUUGUAUAUGGCAGUGGCACACGCGCUAGUUGAUGAAGCCGCUGGGCCGGAAGGCCCUCUCAUUGCCAUGCUAAUGAGUAUCACGACGAACAUGUCCCCCACCUCAAUGCCUCCCUGUCGGCGGUGAGGUCUGGCCGGAUCUGUACAACCCGCAAUAUUAGUAAAGAAAAAGAAUAGCUUGAUUGUUCUAUGACUCUGUCGUGGAUAGGUAAUUUGCAUCAGAGGUUUAUAGGAUCUCCGCCAUUAGUUUCCCAUUAGAAAAUUGAGUUACUAAAUUAAGGAAGAUGUCCAAAGAGAGGUAAUCGAUGGCAUGAUAUGCAUCAGAAGAUCCUCAUCACUUAAGUAGUACUCCACCAGUCCACCUACAGUUUUGGAACAUAUAAAAACGGCAUCAAAGUGCUACCUGGCACCAAAUAAAGAGUUCAGGUCAGGGUGUUAUACUGCAGCUAAGCAGUAUAGUCUGAAUUUCUAAGUUUGAGGAGUAUUUCAGUGUUUCUAAAGAAAGGGACAAGGAUCAGGGCUAUAAUAUUGUUGAAAGACUCAGAGACAUGUACCAUGAAUUGGUUCCGCAAGCUGCGACACACAUGGUCUGCCUCCGUGUCGUCCUACCUGCUUCAGGGCCCUCUACUUCUUCCCCCAAGAUUGCCAUUAUGAUUAACAAAUCUGACGAGAGCAAUUUAAUUGGUGACACAUCAUAUUUAUUCUGCAACUGCAUGUGAAUUCUCAUCUUGCGCCUACCUCUUUUGCUUACCAGGUUGCAAAAUUUCAUUAACUUAUUUGUCGAAGUAUCCUGCAAAAUCAUUUCUCUUAUGGGAAUUAGCCUAUUGUAUUGAUCUAACAAGGUCCACUUCAACCUACGUAACAAUUAUGCAGUGAAGAUGGAGAGCUUUAUGCAAAAAAAGAAAGAAAAAAAAACUAGCACAUGAUCUAUGGAGAAUAAUUUUGACAGCAACUCCAACUAUGCAAUGGAGUACACUUGAUGCAAUCAAUUCUGGUGUGUGUGUGUGUGUGUGAUGCAAUGACGUAUGAAUAACAACAGAAAAAUAUGCCUGAGGAGUAUGGGUAUGUAGUAACAUUUCUCUGUUAUUUUCGGAACAACUUGGAAUAUCUUAUUGGUAGUUUAUAUACAAAGUCAUUUUGAUAAUUAUCAUGCUGCAAACCUACAUAGUUUUCUAUAUUAAUCAUGUCAUGCUAAAAUAUAAAAGUUAUAGCUUCAAUAAAUUGAUAAAAUACAGAUUUGGGAUUUACAUAUUUAUUGAAUAUAUAUUUACAUAUGAAUACGUCGUUACGGUCGGACUCUAGCGAGCAGCAGUGGUUGUUAUACCCCACCAGGUAACUUGCUACUGUUGGUGAAACUCUCUUGUGCAGAAACGCCGAUCUUGAAAUCUUGAUCCUACUUAUAGGCCGUAUUGCAAGCAAUGUACUCAUGUUUUACUGAACAUGUAGGUAACAUGAAAUUUUGAUCUUCUCCCAUCACUGAAAGUUGUGUUUUAAACUUGCAAAAGCAUUGCUAAGCCUAUUCAAUCAUUUCUAUUUUACCCUAGAUUUCACUCCAUACCAUAAUUGAGAUACAAAUGGGCGUUACUGAUGUCGAGGAGAAGAGUUAGAAGCUCUUGGAUUGAGAAUCUGAGAUUUAUAUAGGUUCAGUAGAACAAAAAGUUUCGGAUUCACUACUCCAGAUACAACGGGAGACCUCUGAUGUCAUAGUUGGCACGGACAUUUAGCAAUAAAUUUGUGCCUGCCUGAACAUUAUUACUAUUAAACUAUGAAUAAUGAUUUUUGCAACUGUAGGAGAAUUUCUUUGCCGCAUCACAAGAAAAACAAUUUGAAACAGAAAAGUGUACUGAACCUUCUAAUUAUUGUAUGAACUUGCUUCACUUAAUUUAAGAAGUACACAUACUGCUAGCAUUUGCAUCACACCGGGCAGCCUAUUAUCGAGAGAUCUGACUUCAUCAGGAUUGCGGGUUCGUGACUUAAUCCUGAUUGGGUAUGCUGGCUGCCCGUACAGGAUUAACGUGCCCUAUAUGCGGCGACCCGCGGCUACUCCUCCCAGCCCCGGAUAUGCUCUUCCGCCACCUGCGACCCGUAGCUCCAAUGAUCCACGACAAGGGAUGACGACCAACUCGGCUGGCCCUACCUCGUGCAGCUCCCUCUAAGGCUGCAGCAGCCUUCGCACGAGGCCACUACGGUGCCACCUAUGUUGUCCUGAAGUUCCCUUAGAUUCGACAGUUUCAGUUUCAUCAGUUUUGUCAGAUUUAGUUUCAUCAGAUUCAGAAAAUUCAGUUCAUCAGUUUCAUCAAAGUUUCAGUUGUCAGUUAAUUUGUCAGGCACGUUGGCACUCGCGCACGUCGUCCGCUUCCUCACAUCACUCGCUCACAUAGCCCACCUGCCGAUCCAAACAACAGCUUGGUCAGGGAUCGGACUGGACCAGACGGUGUCCACCAUGACCUCAAGGCGAUGCCCGAGUCCAAGUGCGUAUAAGUUACACCAGCCUUUGAUUUAUAUAUCCACCGUCCACUGAUCAGUGACCUGAAAAGGUUGGGCGCUCUGAGCUAGCACAUAAGCUGAUUGAUGAGAUGGAUUGAAAUGCUUUUGAUUUGUUAGGCCGUCAAUAUUCCAAACUGAAGUCCAAGGAAGAACGAUCAGGAACAGCAGGUAAGAAGACCAUGAGUUAGUUGUCUUACAGGCAUGCACAUGCACAAGGUGCUGAUACAUAGUUGCAGAUUUCCAAUGGAUGCUGGUAUUGUCGGCUGACACCUCCGGGGCUGUACAUCAUGAUGGUUACCAAGACACGACAAUGAUCUCAAUGCUACAAACCUGAAUGGAAUACCAUAACUGCAGACCUGAUCACAAUGCUACAGACUUGAAUGAAAUACCAUGAUUGCAGGCCUUUGCUGAUUUGCGUUUUCCAUUGAUCUUCAGUGCACUAAAGAAUAGUGAAAUCUUGGCAUCUAAUUCAUUUUGCAGGCUAUGCUUUUAACUCAAUGAAAAUGUGCAUUGUUAGUUGACCUUAUUGUCUGUUUGUAGCUAAUUGGGAGACAAACAUGGGCAAUGAGCAGCUUUUUUGAUGACAGUGCAAUCAAGGACUCACAUAUUCACUGAUGAAUCUACCUCUAUUUGGUACUGUGUAUAUACCUGAAAAUAGUAGCAUCGGCUUUGCAUAUUUAUUUUCUGAAUCAGCAACACUGUACUAGGUUCUUCAUCGGCAAUGUACAUAGUGAUGCUUAACUGCCGGUUUGAAUUAUUGGAUGCAUCUGUUGUGAGACAUUCAUGUGUUGUCAUAGUGACUUGCCUGCGCUCAUUGUUGAUCGCUAAGAAGUGAGUUGGUCCAGAGAUUGCAGCUGAGAUGGAGCUCAGCAGGACAACUAGACAUGCACAGCUUGGUGUUAUCCACAGAGGAGAUCACAUUUCCAGUCCAGUCAUAAAUUAUUAUAAUUAUUUUACUCAUGUUCAUACUAAAUUUGAAACGGGUCAAUCCACAAGCUUCUGAUCCUCGGUUCAUUUUUGAACUAUAUCCAUGUGUUCUAUCAAGGAUCAUUUUGGCACAUAUGGAAAAGACAAGCAAUUUUGUUACCAGAAUUAUCAUAUUUGUAAGGUCAAUCACCCAUGGGUUCUGCACUUCACUAGAAAUAAUUUGUACCCUUGACCUGAUAAGAUGUUGUUGUAUUAUGAAUUAUUCAUAGUAUGAGACCAAAUUUCUUGUUUUA